rnacentral:rRNA from 1 species
GAUGAACGCUGGCGGCGUGCCUAAUACAUGCAAGUCGAGCGAACAGAUGAGGAGCUUGCUCCUCUGACGUUAGCGGCGGACGUGUGAGUAACACGUGGAUACCCUACCUAUAAGACUGGGAACACUUCGGGAAACCGGCGCUAAUACCGGAUAAUAUCUUGAACCGUAUGGUUCAAUAGUGAAAGACGGUUUUGCUGUCACUUAUCGAUGGUUCCGCGCUGCAUUGGCUAGUUGGUACGGUUAUGGCUUACGAAGGCGAGUAUGCGUAGCCGACCUGAGAGGGUGAUCGGCCGCACGGGAACGUAGACGCGGUCCAGACGCCUACGGGAGGCAGCAGUAGGGAAUCUUCCGCAAUGGGCGAAAGCCUGACGCAGCAGCGCCGCGUGAGUGAUGAAGGUCUUCGGAUCGUAAAACUCUGUUAUUAGGGAAGAACAAAUGUGUAAGUAACUAUGCACGUCUUGACGGUACCUAAUCAGAAAGCCACGGCUAACUACGUG